rnacentral:rRNA from 1 species
AGAGCGAACGCUGGCGGCAGGCCUAACACAUGCAAGUCGAGCGCCCGUAGCAAUACGGGAGCGGCAGACGGGAGAGUAACACGUGGGAACGCGCCCUUCGGUUCGGAAUAACUCAGGGAAACUUGAGCUAAUACCGGAUACGCCCUUACGGGGAAAGAUUUAUUGCCGAAGGAACGGCCCGCGUCCGAUUAGCUUGUUGGUGAGGUAAUGGCUCACCAAGGCGACGAUCGGUAGCUGGUCUGAGAGGAUGACCAGCCUCACUGGGACUGAGACACGGCCCAGACUCCUACGGGAGGCAGCAGUGGGGAAUAUGGACAAUGGGCGCAAGCCUGAUCCAGCAAUGCCGCGUGGGUGAAGAAGGUCUUCGGAUUGUAAAGCCCUUUCGGCGGGGACGAUGAUGACGGUACCCGCAGAAGAAGCCCCGGCUAACUUCGUGCCAGCAGCCGC